ACCAGACUCCUACGGGAGGCAGCAGUGAGGAAUAUUGGUCAAUGGGCGGAAGCCUGAACCAGCCAAGUCGCGUGAGGGAAUAAGGCCCUACGGGUCGUAAACCUCUUUUGCCGGGGAGCAAGGGCGGGGACGUGUCCCGGCCCGGAGAGUACCCGGAGAAAAAGCAUCGGCUAACUCCGUGCCAGCAGCCGCGGUAAUACGGAGGGUGCAAGCGUUGUCCGGAAUCAUUGGGCGUAAAGAGUUCGUAGGUGGCAUAUUAAGUCUGGUGUUAAAUGCAGAAGCUCAACUGCUGUUCGGCACUGGAUACUGGUAAGCUUGAAUGCGGUAGAGGGAAAGGGAA
rnacentral:rRNA from 1 species